UACAGCUGCCAGACCGGGGUUUCCCCUCGAAUGUCUCUUUCCAGAUAAACUUUAAAUGACUGUAUUCUCUUCAGAUGAGGAUAGUGCGUGGUGCCCCUUCCUCUGCGCGCCAAAGUGGCGCUGUCUGUCAGCGUUUGCAGAUAUAUUUCCAGUCAUCUUGGCCAGCCUCGCGCGCUCUGUUCCUUGUGGGUGGCGCUGCUAUCGACCUGAAGGAAAGGGUCCAUGGAAGAAGUCAUUGAAAAUAAGACAAUGGAGACACCUGCGGCAACUGAAAGAAUGUAAGAAGCAUUCCUGGUUCUGGUGUUAGGCGAGUAUAUACAUACUCACUGGGACCCUGUUAUAGAUAACCAGUUGUGUUCUUGUGCUCUAUAUGCUUGCCUAUCCUGUAGUAAGU